GCAACCUUUCAAUUCGUUGAAAAGGUGCUAAAUCCUGCGAAGUGUGAUGCUUCGAGAGAUAAGAGAGACUUAAAAAGUUUCACUGUAUUUGUGUAUCGAAACUUCCAAACCUCUCUAGUUCUCUAGGGAGGUUUUUUAUU
rnacentral:sRNA from 1 species